GAAUGUGUUGCAUGUUGCAGUACCUGCCAAAUUUAUCUGCAUCUACCGGCAAAAUACUUUAUGAGAAGCACCCGUUGACGGGGGUGGUGCAGCAGACGCACGCAGGAGAUAACAUAUAAAUUUUGCUGCCGAGAUCACGUGUUUUCGUCAGAAGGUCAUUGACACCGGCCAAAGCUCUUAUCACCACCAACUCUCUUGACAUCUUGAAAGCAGAAAGACAGAGAGAGAGACAAACAACAGGAGGCCAGUCCACCUUCGGUGUCAGAGCCCGUGGAAAACCUGAGAUCGGCUACAGAAGAGGACAGGUGUUUCUGCAGCUGGCCCAUGGAAUUUCGGCACUGAAAGAUGAGAAGAGGUAGAAAAAGGCCCACGCCUGGAUGACGAUGUACGACACGGCAGCGUAUGCAAUCACCACCUGGGUAGCGUACCCGAUCCCUGAGGAGACAGGACGACACAACAUGAAUUAGUGAUGAAGAAAGGCACCAUUAAUAAAAAUCUGUGUUCUUA